UACGUAGGGGGCUAGCGUUGUCCGGAAUCAUUGGGCGUAAGGAGCGCGUAGGCGGCUAGAUAAGUCCGGUGUGAAAGUCACAGGCUCAACCUGUGAAUGCCGCUGGAAACUGUCUGGCUAGAGUCCGGAAGGGGCGAGUGGAAUUCCUGGUGUAGCGGUGAAAUGCGCAGAUAUCAGGAGGAACACCAAUGGCGAAGGCAGCUCGCUGGGACGGUACUGACGCUGAGGCGCGAAAGCGUGGGGAGCAAACAGG
rnacentral:rRNA from 1 species